UCAUCUAUAUUUAUCACACAUUUUUUUUUUAGUAUUAAAUCAACAAAUUUCUACUUUCACAGGACACACUGAAGUAUAAAUGGAAGUAGAACAUUUUGUGUCAACACAUAACGGUGCUGUUAUGCCAUAAUUCGAUUUAAAAAGUAGGAGGGUACAAACACAACUACAGUACUGAGGGGUAAUUGUUCGUGCAUACCUCGCCGAGAAUGAAGAGAAAAUGUCGCAGUUCAAGAGAUGACUACUUAUCCUGCACCAUAAAAGUACUUUAUAACUCACAGUUGAUGGAUAACAAGGUUAAAGAGUAGUUAUAACCCAAGGAGACGAAUGUUCUAAAAAAUGGAAGUUCAAAAGACGAAUGUUCUAAAAAAUGGCAGCUCAAAAUCAGUUGUAGACGACUAAAAUCAUGUUAAAAAGUACCUUAAGGUAGCAGUGUUACAUGAACACCGACUCGACUAGCUAGUAGCAGCAUAUACACAGGGUAUUUUAUGUUUGAUAUUGACUAUCUGAGUGCUAUGAAAGCUGUGGAUCAUCGAAAAUAUUGGUGAUAAACGAGUCAUUGACAUAAGUAUUUUGUAAUUCAGGACAGUGCUUGACUUGAGAAGUUGCAAACGAUGAGUUAAACUGUGUUCAUAAGUCACUAAACUUUGUUGUUACAUACUAAUUUUAAAUAUGACGAACAUUUUGUUUAUGGUUAAA